rnacentral:rRNA from 1 species
AACGUAGGACACAAGCGUUAUCCGGAGUUACUGGGCGUAAAGGGCGUUUAGGCGGGUGAUUAAGUUCGCUAUGAAAGCGCCAGGCUAAACCUGGCGAGGCUGGCGGAUACUGGUCAUCUGGAGUAAGGAAGAGGGAGGUAGAAUUCCGCGUGUAGUGGUGAGAUGCGUAGAGAUGCGGAGGAAUACCAGUGGCGAAGGCGGCCUCCUGGUCCUUAACUGACGCUGAAGCGCGAAAGCAUGGGGAGCGAACGGG